rnacentral:lncRNA from 1 species
AGUAGUGUAUAUACAAAACCAUACUUAUAUAUUUGUGCGAGUGCGAGUGCGAGUGUGAGUGUGUAUAUCAGUGUAUAUAUACAUUGAUAAUUAUAUAUAUAUGAUAGCAAGCAAUUGUAUACAUAAACGCAUAAACAUAUAAGUAUAUACAUAUCGUAUAUACACACACAUCAAUCCAUACACAACACGCAUAUGUGUAGCAUAUAUCUAUGAGUGCGAGUGUAAGUUGUGAGUAUGAGUGUGUGUGUGUGAGUGUGUGUUAGUGUGUAUGAAUGUGUGUGUGUGUAACUGUGAAAGUGUGUGUGCGAGUGUGAGUGUGUAUGUGUGAGCGUGUGUGAGUGUGUGUGAGUGUGAGUGUGAGUGUGGUGUGAGUGUGAGUGUGAGUAUGAGUGUGAACGUGUGUGUGUGUGUGUGAGUUUGUGAGUGUGCGUGUGAAUGUGAGUGAGUGUGAGUGAGAGUGUGAGUGUGAGUGUGAGUUGUGUGUGUGAGUGUGAGUGUGAGUUGUGAGUGUGUGUGUGUGUGUGAGUGUGAGUUGUGAGUGUGAGUGUGAGUGUGUGUGUGUGUGCACGUGAGUGUGUGUGAAUGUGUGAGUGCAAGGGUGUGUAUGACUCUGAUAGUGAAUGUGAUCGUGACUGUGACUGUGUGAGAGUGUGAGUGUGUGUAAGUGUGCGUGUGAGUGUGAGUGUGAGUGUGAGUGUGAGUGUGAGUGUGAGUGUGAGUGUGAGUGUGAGUGAGUGUGUCUGCGCGUGUGAGUGUGUGUGUGUGUAAGUGUGAGUGUGAGUGUGAAUGUGAGUGUGUGUGUGUGUGCGUGUGUUAAGAAAAAGUUACUUAAUGAAAUUGGAAACAAGUAAAGCUCCCUAAAAUUCACUCCAUAUUUGCAUAAAAGAAGCAAAAGUGUGUGUGUUAAGAAAAGUUACAUAAUAAAAUUGCAAACCACAAGUAAAGCUCCAGAAAAUUCACUUCUUAUUUGCAUGAAAGAAGAAGUACUAUAUUAAAGAAGAAAGAACCAUUAAGCAAAUCAAGUUUUCAAGAUCAAGAUCGCAAAAACAGGCAUAAACAUAUUAGUAUUUACAUAUCGUAUAUAUACACACAUCAGUCCAUACACAACAUGCAUAUAUGUGUAAUAUAUAUAUCUGUGAGUGUGAGUGAGUGUGAGUGUGAAUGUGAGUGUGAGUGUGAGUGUGAGUGUGAGUGAGUGUGAGUGUGAGUGUCAGUGUCAGUGUCAGUGUCAGUGUCAGUGUCAGUGUCAGUGUCAGUGUCAGUGUCAGUGUCAGUGUCAGUGUCAGUGUCGAUGUGAGUAUGAGUGUGAGUGUGAGUGUGAGUGUGAGUGUGAGUGUGAGUGUGUCAGUGUGAGUGUCAGUGUUAGUGUCAGUGUGAGUGUGAGUGUGAGUGUGAGUGUGAGUGUCAAUGUAUGUAUUAGUGUAUACAUACACAAUAUAUAUGAACUUAUCAACGUGUAAGGGUACAUGUGCGUGUGUAUAUCAGUGUAUAUAUACAUUGAUAACUAUAUAUAAUUGAUAGCAAACAAAUAUAUACAUAAACGUAUAAACAUAAAUGUAUAUACAUAUCGUAUAUAUACACACAUCAGUCCAUACACAACACACAUAUGUGUGGCAUAUAUCUGUGAGUGUGAGUGUAAGUUGUGAGUGUGAGUCUGUGUGAGUGUGUGUUAGUGUGUAUGAGUGUGUAAGUGUGAAAGUGUGUGUGUGUGAGUGCGAGUGAGUGUAAGUGUGUGAGCGUGUGUGAGUGUGUGUGAGUGUGAAUGUGAGUGUGAGUGUGAGCGAGUGUGAGCGUGAGUGAGUGUGAGCGAGUGAGUGUGUGAGUUUGUGAGUGUACGUGUGAAUGUGAGUGUAUGUGUGUGAGUGUGAGUUGUGAGUGUGAGUGUGUGUGUGUGUGUGAAUGUGUGAGUGUGCGAGUUUGUGUGACUCUGACUGUGACCGUGACUGUGACAGUGUGUGAGUGAGUGUGAGUGUGUGUGAGUGUGAGCGUGAGUGUGUGUGUGUAAGUGUGUGUGUGCGCGUGUGAGUGUGUGUGAGUGUGAGAGUGAGUGUGGGUGUGUGUGUGUGCGUGUGUUAAGAAAAAGUUACUUAAUGAAAUUGGAAACAACAAGUAAAGCUCCAAAAAAUUCACUCCAUAUUUGCAUAAAAGAA